GAGGCCCUGGAAGAGGUCUUCAAGAGGCUGCAGUUCAAGGUUGGGAGUCUGGAUGAAGAUGGUGCCUUAGCCUUCUUCAACAUAAUUGAGUACGCUGAGUGGGCCAUCCUUCUCAAAUCUUGUUCAACAAGCACAUUACCAGUGGGGGCUGGCAGGCUGCCAUACAGGCCUGGGGUGAUAUACCUGUCAAACCGUAAUGCAGGUGUCCUAAGGUGAGCUCAGGAAGGUGAGCUUCCAUGGAGCAGAAGGACAAAUGCUCCCUUGAUCUUGAUUUUCAGUGUGAAUACACAUUGUGAAAACAGGCCCUCAUGAUCCUUCUGAUAUCUGGGUAAGUUUUAAGUAGGAGGUGUCAGAAGAGUUACCACAAGGAUAACUGGCUUGUGGUGGCCAAACAUUCAUAACAAUGUUGCUUUAUGAUCCUUUGAAAUAGUCUCUUCCUAUCAUUGUGAAGUAGAAUUCACCAAGCAUUGGUGAAUUAUUCAUUCAUUAAUAGGGAAGGAGAGUCGGGAUUAGACCAUCAUGGGAUAGGUUAGUU
rnacentral:ncRNA from 1 species